AACGAACGCUGGCGGCAGGCUUAACACAUGCAAGUCGAACGGGUGUAGCAAUACAUCAGUGGCAGACGGGUGAGUAACACGUGGGAACCUUCCUAGGGGUACGGAACAACUCAGGGAAACUUGAGCUAAUACCGUAUACGUCCGUGAGGAGAAAGAUUUAUCGCCCUUAGACGGGCCCGCGUCGGAUUAGCUAGUUGGUGGGGUAACGGCCUACCAAGGCGACGAUCCGUAGCUGAUCUUAGAGGAUGAUCAGCCACACUGGGACUGAGACACGGCCCAGACCCCUACGGGAGGCAGCAGUGGGGAAUCUUGGACAAUGGGCGCAAGCCUGAUCCAGCCGUGCCGCGUGAGUGAAGAAGGUCUUCGGAUUGUAAAGCUCUUUUGCCAGGGACGAUAAUGACGGUACCUGGAGAAUAAGCCCCGGCAAACUUCGUGCCAGCCGCCGCUGUAA
rnacentral:rRNA from 1 species